GGGUUGUGAGGUUAAGCGACUAAGCGUACACGGUGGAUGCCCUGGCAGUCAGAGGCGAUGAAGGACGUGCUAAUCUGCGAAAAGCGUCGGUAAGGUGAUAUGAACCGUUACAGCCGGCGAUGUCCGAAUGGGGAAACCCAGUGCAAUUCGUUGCACUAUCGUUAACUGAAUACAUAGGUUAACGAGGCGAACCGGGGGAACUGAAACAUCUAAGUACCCCGAGGAAAAGAAAUCAACCGAGAUUCCCCCAGUAGCGGCGAGCGAACGGGGAGCAGCCCAGAGUCUGAAUCAGCUUGUGUGUUAGUGGAACGGUCUGGAAAGUCCGACGGUACAGGGUGAUAGUCCCGUACACCAAAAUGCACAGGUUGUGAACUCGAAGAGUAGGGCGGGACACGUGGUAUCCUGUCUGAAUAUGGGGGGACCAUCCUCCAAGGCUAAAUACUCCUGACUGACCGAUAGUGAACCAGUACCGUGAGGGAAAGGCGAAAAGAACCCCGGCGAGGGGAGUGAAAAAGAACCUGAAACCGUGUACGUACAAGCAGUGGGAGCACCCUUUAGGGUGUGACUGCGUACCUUUUGUAUAAUGGGUCAGCGACUUAUAUUCUGUAGCAAGGUUAACCGUAUAGGGGAGCCGCAGGGAAACCGAGUCUUAACUGGGCGUUAAGUUGCAGGGUAUAGACCCGAAACCCGGUGAUCUAGCCAUGGGCAGGUUGAAGGUUGGGUAACACUAACUGGAGGACCGAACCGACUAAUGUUGAAAAAUUAGCGGAUGACUUGUGGCUGGGGGUGAAAGGCCAAUCAAACCGGGAGAUAGCUGGUUCUCCCCGAAAGCUAUUUAGGUAGCGCCUCGUGAAUUCAUCUUCGGGGGUAGAGCACUGUUUCGGCUAGGGGGUCAUCCCGACUUACCAACCCGAUGCAAACUACGAAUACCGAAGAAUGUUAUCACGGGAGACACACGGCGGGUGCUAACGUCCGUCGUGAAGAGGGAAACAACCCAGACCGCCAGCUAAGGUCCCAAAGUCACAGUUAAGUGGGAAACGAUGUGGGAAGGCACAGACAGCCAGGAUGUUGGCUUAGAAGCAGCCAUCAUUUAAAGAAAGCGUAAUAGCUCACUGGUCGAGUCGGCCUGCGCGGAAGAUGUAACGGGGCUAAACUGUGCACCGAAGCUGCGGCAGCGACACUAUGUGUUGUUGGGUAGGGGAGCGUUCUGUAAGCCUGCGAAGGUGGCCUGUGAGGGUUGCUGGAGGUAUCAGAAGUGCGAAUGCUGACAUAAGUAACGAUAAUGCGGGUGAAAAGCCCGCACGCCGGAAGACCAAGGGUUCCUGUCCAACGUUAAUCGGGGCAGGGUGAGUCGACCCCUAAGGCGAGGCCGAAAGGCGUAGUCGAUGGGAAACAGGUUAAUAUUCCUGUACUUGGUGUUACUGCGAAGGGGGGACGGAGAAGGCUAUGUUAGCCGGGCGACGGUUGUCCCGGUUUAAGCAUGUAGGCGGAGGUUCCAGGUAAAUCCGGUACCUUUUAACGCUGAGGUGUGAUGACGAGGCACUACGGUGCUGAAGUAACAAAUGCCCUGCUUCCAGGAAAAGCCUCUAAGCAUCAGGUAACAUUGAAUCGUACCCCAAACCGACACAGGUGGUCAGGUAGAGAAUACCAAGGCGCUUGAGAGAACUCGGGUGAAGGAACUAGGCAAAAUGGUGCCGUAACUUCGGGAGAAGGCACGCUGAUAUGUAGGUGAAGCCCCUGCGGGUGGAGCUGAAAUCAGUCGAAGAUACCAGCUGGCUGCAACUGUUUAUUAAAAACACAGCACUGUGCAAACACGAAAGUGGACGUAUACGGUGUGACGCCUGCCCGGUGCCGGAAGGUUAAUUGAUGGGGUUAUCCGUAAGGAGAAGCUCUUGAUCGAAGCCCCGGUAAACGGCGGCCGUAACUAUAACGGUCCUAAGGUAGCGAAAUUCCUUGUCGGGUAAGUUCCGACCUGCACGAAUGGCGUAAUGAUGGCCAGGCUGUCUCCACCCGAGACUCAGUGAAAUUGAACUCGCUGUGAAGAUGCAGUGUACCCGCGGCAAGACGGAAAGACCCCGUGAACCUUUACUAUAGCUUGACACUGAACAUUGAGCCUUGAUGUGUAGGAUAGGUGGGAGGCUUUGAAGCGUGGACGCCAGUCUGCGUGGAGCCAACCUUGAAAUACCACCCUUUAAUGUUUGAUGUUCUAACGUUGGCCCCUUAUCGGGGUUGCGGACAGUGUCUGGUGGGUAGUUUGACUGGGGCGGUCUCCUCCCAAAGAGUAACGGAGGAGCACGAAGGUUAGCUAAUCCUGGUCGGACAUCAGGAGGUUAGUGCAAUGGCAUAAGCUAGCUUGACUGCGAGCGUGACGGCGCGAGCAGGUGCGAAAGCAGGUCAUAGUGAUCCGGUGGUUCUGAAUGGAAGGGCCAUCGCUCAACGGAUAAAAGGUACUCCGGGGAUAACAGGCUGAUACCGCCCAAGAGUUCAUAUCGACGGCGGUGUUUGGCACCUCGAUGUCGGCUCAUCACAUCCUGGGGCUGAAGUAGGUCCCAAGGGUAUGGCUGUUCGCCAUUUAAAGUGGUACGCGAGCUGGGUUUAGAACGUCGUGAGACAGUUCGGUCCCUAUCUGCCGUGGGCGCUGGAGAAUUGAGGGGGGCUGCUCCUAGUACGAGAGGACCGGAGUGGACGCAUCACUGGUGUUCGGGUUGUCAUGCCAAUGGCAUUGCCCGGUAGCUAAAUGCGGAAGAGAUAAGUGCUGAAAGCAUCUAAGCACGAAACUUGCCCCGAGAUGAGUUCUCCCUGACUCCUUGAGAGUCCUGAAGGAACGUUAAAGACGAUGACGUUGAUAGGUCGGGUGUGUAAGCGUAGCGAUACGUUGAGCUAACCGAUACUAAUGAACCGUGAGGCUUAACCUUACAACGCCGAAGCUGUU
rnacentral:rRNA from 1 species